rnacentral:rRNA from 1 species
UACAGAGGUCCCAAGCGUUGUUCGGAUUCACUGGGCGUAAAGGGUGCGUAGGCGGUCGGGUAAGUCUGAUGUGAAAUCUCACAGCUUAACUGUGAAACUGCAUUGGAUACUAUUCGGCUUGAGAGUUGGAGGGGGGACUGGAAUUUUUGGUGUAGCAGUGAAAUGCGUAGAUAUCAAGAGGAACACCAGUGGCGAAUGCGAGUCCCUGGACAACUUCUGACGCUGAGGCACGAAAGCUAGGGGAGCAAACAGG